AGCAGCCGCGGUAAUUCCAGCUCCAAUAGCGUAUAUUAAAGUUGUUGCAGUUAAAAGCUCGUAGUUGAAUUUCGGGGUUAGUAGGUUGGUCAUGCCACUGGUAUGUACUGGUCUCACUGAUUCCUCCUUCCCGAUGAACCGUAAUGCCAUUAAUUUGGUGUUGCGGGGAGACUGGACUGUUACUUUGAAAAAUUGAGUGUUUAAAGCAGGCUAACGCUUGAAUACAUUAGCAUGGAAUAAUGAAAUAGGACGUUCGAUCCUAUUUUGUUGGUUUCUAGGAUUGACGUAAUGAUUAAUAGGGAUAGUUGGGGGCAUUAGUAUUCAAUUGUCAGAGGUGAAAUUCUUGGAUUUAUUGAAGACUAACUACUGCGAAAGCAUUUGCCAAGGAUGUUUUCAUUAAUCAAGAACGAAAGUUAGGGAUCGAAGACGAUCAGAUACCGUCGUAGUCUUAACCAUAAACUAUGCCGACUAGGGAUCGGAUGAUGUUUAAAUUUUUUAAUGUACUCAUUUCGGCGUCCUU
rnacentral:rRNA from 1 species